ACCUACAGCCAAUCCAUCCCUAAGGCACAUGAUCCUGUCUGAUCUUGGAAGCUAAGCAGGGUCAGACCUGGUGAGAAUUUUAGUGGGAGAAAUGACUGCUCAGCUC
rnacentral:rRNA from 1 species